GUCAGGAUGGCCGAGCGGUCUAAGCCGCCAGACUCAGGUUCUGAUCUUCUAUGAAGGCGUGGGUUCAAAUCCCAUUCCUGACA